ensembl:lncRNA
UUCUUUGCUUUGUGGGAUUGAAAUCAUUUAAGGAAAGGAAUGAGAUCACUUACACUUUUUAAAGACAGAGGGACGCCCUGAGCUUCCCACUUCUCCCACCCACAUUUCUCUGAAGUCAGUGAGGCACUACUUCUGCUUGGCAACAAAGAAGCUGCCUUCUCUUAUUUCCCAAAGUCCCCCUUUUUUUUUGCCAAGAUAAUCUUUCCCAGACAGAGGCAUUCAGGAGAAAUAGAAGUCUCCAGUCCCCAGAAGUGGGAAGGGAGGCAGGAAAUCACACAGAAAAGGCCCUGGCAGUACUUAGUCAAAUGAGUUCAGCAUUUGGAUAGGGACCAGCAGCUGACACACAUAUGAGAAGAUUAGGAGAGUAUGUGUACUGAAUAGUUCACCAAAACCAAAAAAAUUAAAAUUAUAAGGCUGUGGGAAAAAAUACUAGUUAUGACAAUAAAGCAAUUAAUUUUCCUUACAAAGUAUCUGUUAACCACAAUUGGCAAAUUAAUCACCAUAAUAAUCACCAAAAUAAUCCACUAUAAAACUUCACUUGGUUGUUUGAGAAAGGAGAAAGCCUGUUAAUCAGAGCCAAUUUUUAAUGGCUGAUUUUUCUAAAGCCCUUUUAGUGCUCAAAUAAGGGUAACUACUAACAGUCUUUUGGACAACUAGUAUCAAGAAUGAAUGAGAAUCAUUCUUAAGGACUUUAGGUUGUUAUAUUCAUUAGUUGCUAGCGUACUUAAAGGUAGAUUAUUAGUAUUAUUGUAUUAAGUAUCCUGUCUUGUUUCUCAGAAAUAUUUUCUCCACACAUGUUAAUAUUUUAAAAAUCAGUCCAUGCAAUGAUAUGAUGAUUAGAACCAUAAAUAGUUUGGACACUAAUUAAUGAAGCUUUUCAUUUUUAGGAAAACAGCAGAAUUAUCUCAGAAAGGCUAUAGGUGCACAGCUUUUAACUCUACCUCCUGCUGCUAAGGGAUGUUAAAUAUUGGUAAACAGAAAGUGAACACAGAAGAAAGAAUUUCUGAUUGAUGAGGGCAAGUCUUUCAAAAACCAUCCAAUUUAAAAGAUACCCUUUUCCUGGCCGAAAACCAGAGAAGUCUCUAACCCUCUCCAACCACAAUUUCAGUAAUUUUUUAGAUGGCAUUUUUCCUCAGAACCAUUAACAUUAUAGAACAGGCAGAAUUCUAUCAUCCCUACAAUUGACAGAUAGCAAAAAAUAACCCUCCAAAAGCCAGAAUAAUGGAAAACAUGGAUGAAAUCAUAAAGUCACAGUAAGAAGUUCCAUAAAGAGUAAACUGAUUAUGUUACAAGUCAGGGAGUUCUGUGAAAUUGUGUUGUCUAAAAUCGAGAAGUAACUAAGAUAGGCUAUUCCAUGCAACGUGCUGUCGAGGGUAGAACACACUAGUAGUGAUCACUCCAGGCUCAAGAUUUAACCAAUAACCUAGUAAUAAGGAUGGGUACCUAACAAUAGAAACACACCACAGAGGUGGUGGGCGCCUGUAAUCCCAGCUACUCCGGAGGCUGAGGCAGAGAAUUGCUUGAACCCGGGAGGCGGAGCUUGUAGUGAGCCGAGAUUGCGCCACUGCACUGCAGCCUGGGUGACAGAACGAGACUCCGUCCCA